rnacentral:ncRNA from 2 species
UGCUGCGGCCCACUUCCGGGCCGCGCGGCGAUGGGCUGAAACGGGAAACAGCGUCGCGCCUUGCGCGGCCACUGUGCUGCCCCCGCAACGGUAAGCGCUUGCCCGGCCACUUGGCCAGGGCUAGCCGGAUUGACGCCACUGCACGCCUUGCGUGUGGGAAGGGAAUCCGGAGACGAGCGCCAGCCCGGAUACCGGCCAGCAAGGGCGGUGAAGU